UUUUUUUUUAUCAAGAAUCAAUACAACAGAUAUCUUUUUGCUUCUUCCCUUUUCUCUAAUUUUUCCUUUCAAUUCUGUUUCUCUUUUCAACUAAUCUCUCUCUCACAUUAUCUUUUAGAGUUUCAUUUCCACUUCUUUGUGUCAAACCUCUGUUGCAGGUCUGUUUCAGUUGACAUCUUGCAGAAAUAUCAAGAAAAUAUCUUAUUCUUUCCUCUCAAUUUCCCUCUUUUUUCUCCAUUUUUCCUUCUUUUUUUAUUCUCCUGCAUUUAGGAUUUUUUUGCUUUUCCCUUCUUUCUGUCAAUUUUUCUCUUCAAGAAUUGUUAAGGGUAUCCAUGGAACUACAACCUCGGCAAGAAAAGAUCCUAGUGGUUGUGCUUGAAGGUCUCGAGAGAAUACAAGAAAAGUUGUGGAGCACAUUUGAGAAGCUUGACUUCAGUAAACAGAAAAUUGAUAAAGGUUACUUUCUUGGAAAUUCAGACAAGCCAAAUAAAGACCAAGAUGGCUCAAGUGAAGUUUCCCAUAAAAAUUAACAGGGCACUACUAAGAUGGUGCACGAUUUUCUUGCUAAUAUGUCUAGUGUAAGUGAGGACUUUGAGGAUGAGAAUGAUGGAGAUGUAGAAGACAUAAACCCUGAAAUUGAAAUUUCUUGAAAUAGUGGCAGUGAAAUGGGAUUGCUGAUUCAAAAAGGAGAGACAAGGGUUUUUGAUGUUAAGAAGGAGGAUGACCUUCUUGUUGAUGCAACAACUUUUCAUGGUGACGGGGAAGAGGAAGAGGUUGAUAUUAUUGGUAAUGGGGAGGAGAUUGUCCCAGAGCAAUCAAAUCCAGUGGAAAAUGAAGACAUGGCUGAUGGUGAUGCUGUUUUGCCAUUGACAUCAAAUGGUACCGCAUGCUAGGAAUUAUUGGGUACUAGAAUUUGAGUUGUGAUUCAUAUAAAAAUGCUGAAGAAAUAUCUAAUUUGUCUUUCUCAAAGGAAAGGGUUCUGGAAUAUGCAUGUAAUUCCCAUUUUUUUUUUUCUAUGUUAGUGUUAUUCAUAUUGAAGUUGGGAGGGCAAGGCUCCGGCAGGGUACUAACAGGGUUCCUAUAGUUUCUAUUCCCAGAGAUACUCUUGUUGGUAUUCAACAACUCAUUAAUAGGCACUAUCAGGCGUUUGUGGAACAAAAAUUUGAAGAGCAAAUUUCAGGGAACCAUAAGGAUGUUUCUCUUCCUGAGAAUGUUUUGAUUAAAGGAGGAAACAUGGUUUGAAGAAGAAGAAAAAUAAUGGGAUCUUGUUGGUAUUUUAUUUGAGCUGAGAUAAUGUAAUCAUAUGAAAUUCAAAGAGAAUGAGUUUGAAAUCAAGAGAAGACAAAGAAAGAAAAUGUGUGUUUUGAGAUACUGCAAUCAUUUACUACUCAAGAGAAUUGAGUUUGAAAUAAGGAGAAGGCAGAGGAAGAAAAUAAGGCUUUGUUGUAGUUGUUUGUUUACCAAAGGAGACUUAGGUUUUAGUAUGCAAGAUAUUAGUUUUGAGCAUCAAAAUUCAUUUCAGGUCUAUAAUUGCAAUAUGGUUUUAUUGAUUGUUGUUCCUUUCUCCAUUCUUGAGGAUAACAAUGACUUCAAGAAGUGAAGAAUGUUAUGACUGAGGAGAAUAAGGGUGUCAAAAAUAAAUAGAGCGUCUUUGGGGUUGAAAUUGUAAUUAAGUGAAUAUUAUAGAGAGUUGGUAGAGUUAGGAAUAAGUUAGAGAAUGGCGGGAACAGUGACUAGAUAGAUUUUAGCUGUAUAAAUAACAACUAUUGUAAC
rnacentral:misc_RNA from 1 species